rnacentral:rRNA from 1 species
CAGCCGCCGCGGGAAUACGAAGGGGGCUAGCGUUGUUCGGAAUUACUGGGCGUAAAGCGCACGUAGGCGGAUACUUAAGUUAGGGGUGAAAUCCCAGGGCUCAACCCUGGAACUGCCUUUAAUACUGGGUAUCUUGAGUUCGAGAGAGGUAAGUGGAAUUCCGAGUGUAGAGGUGAAAUUCGUAGAUAUUCGGAGGAACACCAGUGGCGAAGGCGGCUUACUGGCUCGAUACUGACGCUGAGGUGCGAAAGCGUGGGGAGCAAACAGGAUUAGAUACCCCCGUAGUCCCUGUCUCUUAUAC